rnacentral:rRNA from 1 species
GACGAACGCUGGCGGCGUGCUUAACACAUGCAAGUCGAACGAAGAGCGAUGGAAGCUUGCUUCUAUCAAUCUUAGUGGCGAACGGGUGAGUAACGCGUAAUCAACCUGCCCUUCAGAGGGGGACAACAGUUGGAAACGACUGCUAAUACCGCAUACGAUCUAAUCUCGGCAUCGAGGAUAGAUGAAAGGUGGCCUCUACAUGUAAGCUAUCACUGAAGGAGGGGAUUGCGGCUGAUUAGCUAGUUGGAGGGGUAACGGCCCACCAAGGCGAUGAUCAGUAGCCGGUCUGAGAGGAUGAACGGCCACAUUGGGACUGAGACACGGCCCAGACUCCUACGGGAGGCAGCAGUGGGGAAUCUUCCGCAAUGGACGAAAGUCUGACGGAGCAACGCCGCGUGAGGGAUGACGGCCUUCGGGUUGUAAAGCUCUGUUAAUCGGGACGAAAGGCCUUCUUGCGAAUAGUGAGAAGGAUUGACGGUACCGGAAUAGAAAGCCACGGCUAACUACGUG